rnacentral:rRNA from 1 species
CCUACGUGAUGCAGCAGUGAGGAAUAUUGGUCAAUGGCCGGAAGGCUGAACCAGCCAUGCCGCGUGAAGGUCAGUGCCCUAUGGGCGUUAAACUUCUUUUGUGCGGGAGCAAUAAUGGUCACGUGUGGCCAGACGAGAGUACCGUACGAAUACGCAUAGGCUAACUCCGUGCCAGCGGCCGCGGUAAUACGGGGGAUGCAAGCGUUAUCCGGAUUUAUGGUGUUUCAAGGGUUCGUAGGCUGUGAGGUAAGUCAGCGGUGAAAUGCCCCCGCUCAACGGGGUGAAGUGCAAUUGAUACUGCCUUGCUGGAAUGCGGAUGCCGUGGGAGGAAUGUGUGGUGUAGCGGUGAAAUGCAUAGAUAUCACACAGAACACCGAUUGCGAAGGCAUCUCACGAAUCCGCGAUUGACGCUGAUGCACGAAAGCGUGGGUAUCAAACAGGAUUAGAUACCCGGGUAGUC